ACUCCUACGGGAGGCAGCAGUGAGGAAUAUUGGACAAUGGGCGGGAGCCUGAUCCAGCCAUGCCGCGUGCAGGAAGACUGCCCUAUGGGUUGUAAACUGCUUUUAUACGGGAAGAAACACUCCCUCGUGAGGGAAUUUGACGGUACCGUAAGAAUAAGGAUCGGCUAACUCCGUGCCAGCAGCCGCGGUAAUACGGAGGAUCCAAGCGUUAUCCGGAAUCAUUGGGUUUAAAGGUCCGUAGGUGGACGAUUAAGUCAGAGGUGAAAUCUUGCAGCUCAACUGUAAAAUUGCCUUUGAAUACUGGUUGUCUUGAGUUAUUAUGAAGUGGUUAGAAUAUGUAGUGUAGCGGUGAAAUGCAUAGAUAUUACAUAGAAUACCAAUUGCGAAGGCAGAUCACUAAUAAUAUACUGACACUGAUGGACGAAAGCGUGGGUAGCGAACAGGAUUAGAUACCCUGGUAGGCUCUG
rnacentral:rRNA from 1 species